GACAGAGGAUGCAAGCGUUAUCCGGAAUGAUUGGGCGUAAAGCGUCUGUAGGUGGCUUUUUAAGUCUGCCGUCAAAUCCCAGGGCUUAACCCUGGACAGGCGGUGGAAACUACCAAGCUGGAGUACGGUAGGGGCAGAGGGAAUUUCCGGUGGAGCGGUGAAAUGCGCAGAUAUCAGGAGGAACACCGGUGGCGAAGGCGGUUCUCUGGGCAUUACCUGACGCUGAGGCGCGAAAGCUAGGGGGAGCAAACGGG
rnacentral:rRNA from 1 species